GAGUUUUCUCUGAGUAAUCUCACUUCAAAGUUCGUCUUUUCAUAAUUCUGAACUGAAACGGUUAAAGAAAAUGUUUCAGAGAUUGUUGUUCUAUUUGUUUAUGUGGCAUCUGAUCGAUGUGUUUGAAGUGAAGUCCGUGUCAGUGAUGGAGGGAGAUUCUGUUACUCUAAACACUGAUAUUAUUGGCAGCGGCCUUCUGGUAUAUUGGAGGUCAGGAACACUAUGGCUAAAUUUGAUACCGCAACCAAAGAGAUCUUAAUACAUGAUGAUGUUCAUGAUGGGAUGUUCAGAGACAGACUGCAGGUGAAUGAUCAGACAGGAUCUCUCACCAUCACAAACACCAAAACUGAAGACUCUGGACUUUACCGGUUAACCGUCUACAGGGAGAGUUUCAUCUCACAUGAUUUCAAUUUUAAUGUAUAUGCUCGUCUGCCCGUUCCUGUCAUCUCUACAAACUCUUCUCAAUGUUCUUCAUCAUCAGAAAGAUCUUCAGUGUCAAAAUGUGUGUUGUUGUGUUCAGUGAUGAAUGUUACACGUGUGAGUCUCUCCUGGUACAAAGGAA